GGGACCUAUUCUUUUUUAUUGAUUAGUUGCUCCAUAGGGCGAUUGAAUUUAGCGGCCGCGAAUUCGCCCUUAGAGUUUGAUCCUGGCUGAGGACUAACGCUGACGGUAUGCCUUACACAUGCAAGUCGAACGGAAAGGUCUCUUCGGAGAUACUCGAGUGGCGGACGGGUGAGUAACACGUAGGAAUCUGCCUCUAAGAGGGGGACAACCCAGGGAAACUUGGGCUAAUACCCCAUAUGGCGCGAGCUGAAAUGAUUUUUCGCUUAGAGAUGAGCCUGCGUUUGAUUAGCUAGUUGGUGGGGUAAUAGCCUACCAAGGCAACGAUCAAUAGCUGGUCUGAGAGGAUGAUCAGCCACAAUGGGACUGAGAUACGGCCCAUACUCCUACGGGAGGCAGCAGUGGGGAAUUUUGCGCAAUGGGCGAAAGCCUGACGCAGCAAUACCGUGUGUGGGAAGACGCCCCGUGGGGUGUAAACCACUGUCAGGAGUGAAGAAUUUGACUGUAGCUCCAGAGGAAGCACCGGCUAAUUCCGUGCCAGCAGCCGCGGUAAUACGGAAGGUGCAAGCGUUGUCCGGAUUUAUUGGGCGUAAAGAGUUUGUAGGCGGCUUAGUAAGUCUGAAGUGAAAGAAUGGAGCUUAACUCCAUCCACGCUUUUGAAACUACCAAGCUAGAGAAUGUUAGGGGUGAGUGGAAUUUCCAGUGUAGCGGUGAAAUGCGUAGAUAUUGGAAAGAACACCGGAGCGAACGCGGCUCACUGGGACAUUUCUGACGCUGAGAAACGAAAGCUAGGGGAGCGAAAGGGAUUAGAUACCCCUGUAGUCCUAGCCGUAAACGAUGAAUACUAGAUGUCAUGGGAAUCGACCCCCGUGGUAUCGUAGCUAACGCGUUAAGUAUUCCGCCUGGGAAGUAUGCACGCAAGUGUGAACUCAAAGGAAUUGACGGGACCCGCACAAGCGGUGGAACAUGUGGUUUAUUCGAUGCAACGCGAGGACCUUACCAGGACUUGACAUCUACAGAAUCAGAUGGAGACAUUUGAGUGCCUUCGGGACUGUAUGACAGGUGCUGCACGGCUGUCGUCAGCUCGUGUCGUGGGAUGGUGUGGUUAGUCCCGCACGAGGGCACCCAAGUCGUUAGUUGCUAACAUUAAUUGAGCCCCUACCGGACUGCGGUGUUAAACCGAGGAAGGGUGGGGGAACACCAAUCUUCUUG
rnacentral:rRNA from 1 species